rnacentral:rRNA from 1 species
AUGGCUUCCGCCUUCAGCGGCGAUGAGACCGCCCCCUUCUUCAGUUUCCUUGGUGCCACUGCGGCCCUCGUCUUCUCCUGCAUGGGGGCGGCGUACGAGAAGGCCAAGAGCGGGGUGGGGUGGCGCGAUGGGGGUUAUGCGGCCAGAGCAGGUGAUGAAGUCCAUCGCGCCCGUCGUCAUGGCUGUGGUGCUCGGGAUCAACAGCCUCAUCAUAUCCACCGCAUCAACCCCAAGACCAAGCCCUACUUCCUCUUCGACGGCUACGUGCACCUCUCCUCCAGCCUUGCCUGCGGCCUCGCGGGACUCGCCGCCGAAAUAAAUGGGCUA